AGAUAGAGGAGCGGUUGACAACAGUAGGCGGCUGCACAUGUCGGGCAGACAGCAGCCGGUGAAAGGGGAUACCGCCGAAGUGAAAUGCACCGCCCAUGCAUUUUGCUGGUAUUGCGGAUAAUAUCCGCGGUACUGUCACAUUUUUUCGAUGUGGAGAGCUAUCA
rnacentral:ncRNA from 1 species